rnacentral:rRNA from 1 species
CACGUAGGGCGCGAGCGUUGUCCGGAAUUAUUGGGCGUAAAGAGCUCGUAGGCGGCUUGUUGCGUCAGCUGUGAAAACCCGCAGCUCAACUGUGGGCUUGCAGCUGAUACGGGCAGGCUUGAGUUCGGUAGGGGAGACUGGAAUUCCUGGUGUAGCGGUGAAAUGCGCAGAUAUCAGGAGGAACACCGAUGGCGAAGGCAGUGGGCUGGGCCGGCACUGACGCUGGAGGAGCGAAAGCGUGGGGAGCGAACAGG